CAAUAGCGUAUAUUAAAGUUGUUGCAGUUAAAAAGCUCGUAGUUGGAUUUGUGGCGUACGGUGUGUUCCGGGCACUUGUUGUCUGAGUAACCUGCUGUUGCCAUCCUUGGGUGGAACCAGUGUGGCAUUAGGUUGUCGUGCAGGGGAUGCCCAUCAUUUACUGUGAAAAAAUUAGAGUGUUCAAAGCAGGCUUAUGCCGUUGAAUAUAUUAGCAUGGAAUAAUGAGAUAGGACUUUUUUGCUAUUUUGUUGGUUUGCGCAAAGAGGUAAUGAUUAAUAGGGACAGUUGGGGGUAUUCGUAUUCCAUUGUCAGAGGUGAAAUUCUUGGAUUUUUGGAAGACGAACUACUGCGAAAGCAUUUACCAAGGAUGUUUUCAUUAA
rnacentral:rRNA from 1 species